UGAUGUUAGCGGCGGACGGGUGAGUAACACGUGGGUAACCUGCCUGUAAGACUGGGAUAACUCCGGGAAACCGGGGCUAAUACCGGAUGGUUGUUUGAACCGCAUGGUUCAGACAUAAAAGGUGGCUUCGGCUACCACUUACAGAUGGACCCGCGGCGCAUUAGCUAGUUGGUGAGGUAACGGCUCACCAAGGCGACGAUGCGUAGCCGACCUGAGAGGGUGAUCGGCCACACUGGGACUGAGACACGGCCCAGACUCCUACGGGAGGCAGCAGUGGUCAUAGCUGGUUUCCUG
rnacentral:rRNA from 1 species